rnacentral:rRNA from 1 species
UACGAAGGGGGCUAGCGUUGUUCGGAAUUACUGGGCGUAAAGGGCGCGUAGGCGGUGUGUCAAGUCAGGCGUGAAAGCCCCGGGCUCAACCUGGGAACCGCGCUUGAGACUGGCACGCUCGAGUCCGGGAGAGGAUGGUGGAAUUCCCAGUGUAGAGGUGAAAUUCGUAGAUAUCGGGAAGAACACCGAUGGCGAAGGCAGCCAUCUGGACCGGCACUGACGCUGAGGCGCGAAAGCGUGGGGAGCAAACAGG